rnacentral:rRNA from 1 species
UGGGGAAUAUUGCACAAUGGGCGCAAGCCUGAUGCAGCCAUGCCGCGUGUAUGAAGAAGGCCUUCGGGUUGUAAAGUACUUUCAGCGGGGAGGAAGGGAGUAAAGUUAAUACCUUUGCUCAUUGACGUCACCCGCAGAAGAAGCACCGGCUAACUCCGUGCCAGCAGCCGCGGUAAUACGGAGGGUGCAAGCGUUAAUCGGAAUUACUGGGCGUAAAGCGCACGCAGGCGGUUUGUUAAGUCAGAUGUGAAAUCCUCGGGCUCAACCUGGGAACUGUAUCUGAUACUGGCAAGCUUGAGUCUCGUAGAGGGGGGUAGAAUUCCAGGUGUAGCGGUGAAAUGCGUAGAGAUCUGGAGGAAUACCGGUGGCGAAGGCGGCCCCCUGGACGAAGACUGACGCUCAGGUGCGAAAGCGUGGGGAGCAAACAGG